rnacentral:rRNA from 1 species
UACGUAGGGGGCAAGCGUUGUCCGGAUUUAUUGGGCGUAAAGAGCGUGUAGGCGGCUUUGCAAGCCCGUUGUGAAAACUCGAGCUCAACCUCGAGACGCCGGUGGAAACUGCAAAGCUAGAGUCCGGAAGAGGAGAGUGGAAUUCCGUGGUGUAGCGGUGAAAUGCGCAGAUAUCAGGAAGAACACCCGUGGCGAAGGCGGCUCUCUGG